rnacentral:rRNA from 1 species
GACGAAGGGGGCUAGCGUUGUUCGGAAUUACUGGGCGUAAAGCGCGUGUAGGCGGCUCGAUAAGUCUGCUGUGAAAGUCCAGGGCUCAACCCUGGGAUGCCGGUGGAUACUGUCGAGCUCGAGUCCGGAAGAGGCGAGUGGAAUUCCUGGUGUAGUGGUGAAAUGCGUAGAGAUCGGGAGGAACACCUGUGGCGAAGGCGGCCCCCUGGGCCGGCCCUGACACUGAGACGCGAAGGCGUGGGGAGCGAACGGGG